rnacentral:rRNA from 1 species
UACGGGGGGGGCAAGCGUUGUUCGGAAUUACUGGGCGUAAAGGGCUCGUAGGCGGCCAACUAAGUCAGACGUGAAAUACCCGGGCUCAACUUGGGUGCUGCAUUUGAAACUGGAUAUCUAGAGUGCGGGAGAGGUAAGUGGAAUUCCUAGUGUAGCGGUGAAAUGCGUAGAUAUCGGGAGGAACACCUGUGGCGAAAGCGGCGCACUGGACCACAACUGACGCUGAUGCGCGAAAGCUAGGGGAGCAAACAGG